GACAGAGGGUGCGAGCGUUGUUCGGAAUUACUGGGCGUAAAGCGCGCGCAGGCGGAUCCUGCAAGUCGGAAGUGAAAUGUGGCUGCUCAACGGCCACGCUGCUUCCGAUACUGCGGAUCUGGGGACCGGUAGAGGCUGGUGGAAUUGCAGGUGUAGCGGUGGAAUGCGUAGAGAUCUGCAAGAACACCCGUGGCGAAGGCGGCUCUCUGGGACGGUACUGACGCUGAGGAACGAAAGCGUGGGGAGCGAACAGG
rnacentral:rRNA from 1 species